AGCAGUCGCCACGGGAAUACGGAGGGUGCAAGCGUUAUCCGGAUUUAUUGGGUUUAAAGGGUCCGUAGGCGGACUUAUAAGUCAGUGGUGAAAGCCUGUCGCUUAACGAUAGAACUGCCAUUGAUACUGUAAGUCUUGAGUAUAUUUGAGGUAGCUGGAAUAAGUAGUGUAGCGGUGAAAUGCAUAGAUAUUACUUAGAACACCAAUUGCGAAGGCAGGUUACCAAGAUAUAACUGACGCUGAGGGACGAAAGCGUGUGUAGCGAACAGGAUUAGAUACCCGGGUAGUCCCUGUCUCUUAUAC
rnacentral:rRNA from 1 species